GAUCCUGGCUCAGGACGAACGCUGGCGGCGCGCCUAACACAUGCAAGUCGAACGGGGUGCGUUCGAAUGAAGUUUUCGGAUGGAAUUUGGAUGUACCUAGUGGCGAACGGGUGAGUAACACGUGAAUAACCUGCCCUGGAGUGGGGGACAACAGUUGGAAACGACUGCUAAUACCGCAUAAGCCCACAGAGCCGCAUGGCUCAGGGGGAAAAGGAGCAAUUCGCUUCAGGAUGGAUUCGCGUCCAA
rnacentral:rRNA from 1 species